rnacentral:rRNA from 1 species
UGGGGAAUUUUGGACAAUGGGCGAAAGCCUGAUCCAGCAAUGCCGCGUGUGUGAAGAAGGCCUUCGGGUUGUAAAGCACUUUUGUCCGGAAAGAAAUCCUUGGCUCUAAUACAGUCGGGGGAUGACGGUACCGGAAGAAUAAGCACCGGCUAACUACGUGCCAGCAGCCGCGGUAAUACGUAGGGUGCAAGCGUUAAUCGGAAUUACUGGGCGUAAAGCGUGCGCAGGCGGUUUGCUAAGACCGAUGUGAAAUCCCCGGGCUCAACCUGGGAACUGCAUUGGUGACUGGCAGGCUAGAGUAUGGCAGAGGGGGGUAGAAUUCCACGUGUAGCAGUGAAAUGCGUAGAGAUGUGGAGGAAUACCGAUGGCGAGCGAGCCCGGCAAUACUGAGCUCAUGCACGAAAGCGUGGGGAGCAAACAGGAUUAGAUACCCUGGUAGUCCACGCCCUAAACGAUGUC